UACGUAGGGGGCAAGCGUUGUCCGGAUUUAUUGGGCGUAAAGAGCGUGUAGGCGGCCUGUCAAGUCUGCUGUGAAAACUCGAGGCUCAACCUCGAGAUGUCGGCGGAAACUGUCUGGCUAGAGUCCGGAAGAGGAGAGUGGAAUUCCUGGUGUAGCGGUGAAAUGCGCAGAUAUCAGGAAGAACACCUAUGGCGAAGGCAGCUCUCUGGGACGGUACUGACGCUGAGACGCGAAAGCGUGGGGAGCGAACAGG
rnacentral:rRNA from 1 species